GAUGAACGCUGGCGGCGUGCCUAAUACAUGCAAGUCGAGCGAACAGACGAGGAGCUUGCUCCUCUGACGUUAGCGGCGGACGGGUGAGUAACACGUGGAUAACCUACCUAUAAGACUGGGAUAACUUCGGGAAACCGGAGCUAAUACCGGAUAAUAUAUUGAACCGCAUGGUUCAAUAGUGAAAGACGGUUUUGCUGUCACUUAUAGAUGGAUCCGCGCCGCAUUAGCUAGUUGGUAAGGUAACGGCUUACCAAGGCAACGAUGCGUAGCCGACCUGAGAGGGUGAUCGGCCACACUGGAACUGAGACACGGUCCAGACUCCUACGGGAGGCAGCAGUAGGGAAUCUUCCGCAAUGGGCGAAAGCCUGACGGAGCAACGCCGCGUGAGUGAUGAAGGUCUUCGGAUCGUAAAACUCUGUUAUUAGGGAAGAACAAAUGUGUAAGUAACUAUGCACGUCUUGACGGUACCUAAUCAGAAAGCCACGGCUAACUACGUGCCAGCAGCCGCGGUAAUACGUAGGUGGCAAGCGUUAUCCGGAAUUAUUGGGCGUAAAGCGCGCGUAGGCGGUUUUUUAAGUCUGAUGCGAAAGCCCACGGCUCAACCGUGGAGGGUCAUUGGAAACUGGAAAACUUGAGUGCAGAAGAGGAAAGUGGAAUUCCAUGUGUAGCGGUGAAAUGCGCAGAGAUAUGGAGGAACACCAGUGGCGAAGGCGACUUUCUGGUCUGUAACUGACGCUGAUGUGCGAAAGCGUGGGGAUCAAACAGGAUUAGAUACCCUGGUAGUCCACGCCGUAAACGAUGAGUGCUAAGUGUUAGGGGGUUUCCGCCCCUUAGUGCUGCAGCUAACGCAUUAAGCACUCCGCCUGGGGAGUACGACCGCAAGGUUGAAACUCAAAGGAAUUGACGGGGACCCGCACAAGCGGUGGAGCAUGUGGUUUAAUUCGAAGCAACGCGAAGAACCUUACCAAAUCUUGACAUCCUCUGACCCCUCUAGAGAUAGAGUUUUCCCCUUCGGGGGACAGAGUGACAGGGGGUGCAUGGUUGUCGUCAGCUCGUGUCGUGAGAUGUUGGGUUUAAUCCCGCAACCAAGCGCAACCCUUAACUUAAUUGCCAUCCUUAAAUUGGGCACCCCUAAUUGACCGCCCGUGACAAACCCGAGGAAAGGGGGGGAUGACCCUCAAUCAUCCUGCCCCUUAUGAAUUGGGCCACACACGUGCCUCCAAGGGAAAAUACAAAGGGGCUCCAAACCCCCGAGGGUCAAGCAAAAUCCCAUAAAGUUGUUCUCCAUUUCCGAUUGGAGUCCGCCACCCCCCUUAUAUUAAGAUGG
rnacentral:rRNA from 1 species